GGCUCAGGAUGAACGCUAGCUACAGGCUUAACACAUGCAAGUCGAGGGGCAGCAUGGUCUUAGCUUGCUAAGGCCGAUGGCGACCGGCGCACGGGUGAGUAACACGUAUCCAACCUGCCGUCUACUCUUGGACAGCCUUCUGAAAGGAAGAUUAAUACAAGAUGGCAUCAUGAGUCCGCAUGUUCACAUGAUUAAAGGUAUUCCGGUAGACGAUGGGGAUGCGUUCCAUUAGAUAGUAGGCGGGGUAACGGCCCACCUAGUCUUCGAUGGAUAGGGGUUCUGAGAGGAAGGUCCCCCACAUUGGAACUGAGACACGGUCCAAACUCCUACGGGAGGCAGCAGUGAGGAAUAUUGGUCAAUGGGCGAGAGCCUGAACCAGCCAAGUAGCGUGAAGGAUGACUGCCCUAUGGGUUGUAAACUUCUUUUAUAAAGGAAUAAAGUCGGGUAUGGAUACCCGUUUGCAUGUACUUUACGAAUAAGGAUCGGCUAACUCCGUG
rnacentral:rRNA from 1 species